rnacentral:rRNA from 1 species
CCUACGGGUGGCAGCAGUGAGGAAUAUUGGUCAAUGGACGAGAGUCUGAACCAGCCAAGUAGCGUGAAGGAUGACUGCCCUAUGGGUUGUAAACUUCUUUUAUAUGGGAAUAAAAGGGGGCUCGUGAGCCCCGUAUUGUAUGUACCAUCAGAAAAAGGACCGGCUAAUUCCGUGCCAGCAGCCGCGGUAAUACGGAAGGUCCGGGCGUUAUCCGGAUUUAUUGGGUUUAAAGGGAGCUUAGGCCGGCUUUUAAGUAAGCUGUGAAAGUCCGCGGCUCAACCGUGGAAGUGCAGUUGAAACUGGAGGCCUUGAGUGCACACAGGGAUGCCGGAAUUCAUGGUGUAGCGGUGAAAUGCUUAGAUAUCAUGAAGAACUCCGAUCGCGAAGGCAAGUGUCCGGGGUGCAACUGACGCUGAGGCUCGAAAGUGCGGGUAUCAAACAGGAUUAGAUACCCCAGUAGUC